CUGAAUUUCUGAGUUGGAAGUCC
rnacentral:miRNA from 1 species